UACAGAGGUCCCGAGCGUUGUUCGGAUUCACUGGGCGUAAAGGGUGCGCAGGUGGGUUGGCAAGUUUGAUGUGAAAGCCCCGGGCUUAACCCGGGAAAGGCAUUGAAUACUGCUGAUCUGGAGGAUCGGAGGGGGGACUGGAAUUCUUGGUGUAGCAGUGAAAUGCGUAGAUAUCGUGAGGAACACCAGAGGCGAAGGCGGCUACCUGGACAAUUGCUGACGCUCAGGCACGAAAGCGUGGGGAGCAAAAGGG
rnacentral:rRNA from 1 species